rnacentral:rRNA from 1 species
CUACGGGUGGCUCCAGUGGGGAAUAUUGGACAAUGGGGGAAACCUUGAUCCAGCAAUGCCGCGUGUGUGAAGAAGGCCUGCGGGUUGUAAAGCACUUUCGGUUGGGAGGACUGCUUCUAGCACUAAUAUUGUUGGAAGUUGACGUUACCUUCAGAAGAAGCACCGGCUAACUCCGUGCCAGCAGCCGCGGUAAUACGGAGGGUGCAAGCGUUAAUCGGAAUUACUGGGCGUAAAGCGCGCGUAGGCGGCUAGAUCAGUCGGGUGUGAAAGCCCCGGGCUUAACCUGGGAACCGCAUCCGAUACUGUCUAGCUUGAGUACAGGAGAGGAGAGUGGAAUUCCACAUGUAGCGGUGAAAUGCGUAGAUAUGUGGAGGAACACCAAUGGCGAAGGCAGCUCUCUGGCCUGAUACUGACGCUGAGGUGCGAAAGCGUGGGGAGAAAACAGGAUUAGAUACCCGAGUAGUC